rnacentral:lncRNA from 1 species
CCGUUAAGAACCCGUUAAUAACAUGUUCUUAACGGGGUAUACACGCAGGUAACACGUGGGUAACCCGUUUCGACCCGUUAAGAAAAAAAUUAUUUUGAUAAUUUUAAAAUUUAAUUACGAAAAGAUUUAUUAUAAAAUACAAUAGCCUUAUUAAUAUAUACAAUAUAUUCUAUAUUAAAUAUAUAGUUUUGUAUUAUUAUUCUAUAUAAGUUUAAAAAAAAAGUUUUAGUCAUUAUUUAUUUUUAUUAUGAGAGUUCCUUAUUAUCAUUACUAGGAUAAAUUUUACUUAACAUGUUGUUCUCCAAAAUUAAAAUAAACUAAUAUAAUAUUUGUAUAGGCAAGAACUAAGAAGACAUACAUACAAGUAUGAAAAAUGUGAAAGAAUAUAUAAACACUCGUGAUUCAUCAUUAUUCAUCCACGAGUAGAUAAUGGUUACACUUACAUUAUCGUUUAGAUUUUUAAAAUCCUCCAAACCUUCAUGAAUAAUGUUUUUUAUUUGAGGAAAAAAUUAAUAAAAUUAAUAAUAAUUAUUGUAGAAGUGUAAAAAAUGUAAAAAAACAUAUACAAUCACUCAUAGUGACAAACAACUUUCAUGAAGGGGUCAGCUUCGAAAUCCAACACUAUAAUUCAUAAACCUUAAAUUUAUAUUUAACCGUCGAUUGCCAUUUACACUUUAUUCUUCUUACUGAAUUUCAUUUUUAAAAUUUUCUUUUUUGAAAACAUGAUCAUCUGGGCGAUGUAAGAAGAUGAACAGUUCAGAUCUUUAAUAUCACAUUUUGAUAUUCACGGUUAACUGAAAUAUGAGUCGAUGUCAUAUAGUUUGUAGAAACUUUAUAAACAUCAAGCAAUAUUUUCACUAACUGUAAAACUCUAAAUAUAAUAUCAACGAUCCAAAUCGUUCAUCUUCCUGCAUCCUCUAAUAGAUCAUGUUUUCAAAAAAGAAAAUCUGAAAAAACAAAAUUUGAUGAGAAACAAUGAAGCGUAAAUGUAAACAACAAUCAACGGUUAAAUUUUGAUCUAUGAUUUAUAUGAUUAUAAUGGCCAAUUUCGAAGGUGAGCUCUUCAUGAAAGUUGUAAAGCUUGUCAUUACGAGUGUUUUUUAUAUUUUUUCUAUAUUUUUUUACACUUCUACAUUAAUUAAAAAACUAUUAAAGACUUUAGGUAAGUGAAAAUAUACUUAAAAGAAAAAUGCUUUUUUAUGUUUUGGAUGUGACAAUAUGGUAUGUAUAUAUUUAUUUAGUAUUAUAUUUUUCAUUUGAUUAUUUAUUGGUUUAAAAUAUAUUUUCCUUAACGGGUAAUGGAUCGGUUCAUAUU